GGGUGGGUUAGCUCAGUGGUCAGAGCUUAGGCCUUGUGACUGGAAAGUCCCGGGUUCGAAUCUCGACAGGGGCA
rnacentral:tRNA from 1 species